AGAGGGGAAUCAGAAACCAAGGAGGAAGAGAUAAAUGAACUGAAUAGAAACCCUCAAAAGCAUUUCACAUUAGCCAAAGGCCAAGAAAUGUACAGCCUCUUAAACUAUAAUUUAAUAAAUCAACGGAAAAUCUUAUGAUCACUUAAUCCUGGAACGUGAACUAUAUCAAUUACAGCAGACCACCUUGUCCUAAUCAUGCAUACAUGCCGGUAGUUUAUGGAAACCAGCACUCCCAUUGAAUAUCACAGUGACGCAUGUGAGCACCCAACUAUUCAAUGUCAUGGUCUUCCAAUGCAGUAAAAAUCAUCCAGAAAAUUGUCAGAAAGAGGAGAAAAAUGAGAUAGAAGA
rnacentral:misc_RNA from 1 species